rnacentral:rRNA from 1 species
GGUUAAGCGACUAAGCGUACACGGUGGAUGCCCUGGCAGUCAGAGGCGAUGAAGGACGUGCUAAUCUGCGAUAAGCGUCGGUAAGGUGAUAUGAACCGUUAUAACCGGCGAUUUCCGAAUGGGGAAACCCAGUGUGAUUCGACACACUAUCAUUAACUGAAUCCAUAGGUUAAUGAGGCGAACCGGGGAACUGAAACAUCUAAGUACCCCGAGGAAAAGAAAUCAACCGAGAUUCCCCAGUAGCGGCGAGCGAACGGGGAGCAGCCCAGAGCCUGAAUCAGUGUGUGUGUUAGUGGAAGCGUCUGGAAAGGCGCGCGAUACAGGGUGACAGCCCUGUACACAAAAAUGCACAUACUGUGAGCUCGAUGAGUAGGGCGGGACACGUGGUAUCCUGUCUGAAUAUGGGGGACCAUCCUCCAAGGCUAAAUACUCCUGACUGACCGAUAGUGAACCAGUACCGUGAGGGAAAGGCGAAAAGAACCCCGGCGAGGGGAGUGAAAAAGAACCUGAAACCGUGUACGUACAAGCAGUGGGAGCCUCUUUAUGGGGUGACUGCGUACCUUUUGUAUAAUGGGUCAGCGACUUAUAUUCUGUAGCAAGGUUAACCGAAUAGGGGAGCCGAAGGGAAACCGAGUCUUAACUGGGCGUUAAGUUGCAGGGUAUAGACCCGAAACCCGGUGAUCUAGCCAUGGGCAGGUUGAAGGUUGGGUAACACUAACUGGAGGACCGAACCGACUAAUGUUGAAAAAUUAGCGGAUGACUUGUGGCUGGGGUGAAAGGCCAAUCAAACCGGGAGAUAGCUGGUUCUCCCCGAAAGCUAUUUAGGUAGCGCCUCGUGAAUUCAUCUCCGGGGUAGAGCACUGUUUCGGCAAGGGGUCAUCCCGACUUACCAACCCGAUGCAAACUGCGAAUACCGGAGAAUGUUAUCACGGGAGACACACGGCGGGUGCUAACGUCCGUCGUGAAGAGGGAAACAACCCAGACCGCCAGCUAAGGUCCCAAAGUCAUGGUUAAGUGGGAAACGAUGUGGGAAGGCCCAGACAGCCAGGAUGUUGGCUUAGAAGCAGCCAUCAUUUAAAGAAAGCGUAAUAGCUCACUGGUCGAGUCGGCCUGCGCGGAAGAUGUAACGGGGCUAAACCAUGCACCGAAGCUGCGGCAGCGACACUAUGUGUUGUUGGGUAGGGAGCGUUCUGUAAGCCUGUGAAGGUGUGCUGUGAGGUAUGCUGGAGGUAUCAGAAGUGCGAAUGCUGACAUAAGUAACGAUAAAGCGGGUGAAAAGCCCGCUCGCCGGAAGACCAAGGGUUCCUGUCCAACGUUAAUCGGGGCAGGGUGAGUCGACCCCUAAGGCGAGGCCGAAAGGCGUAGUCGAUGGGAAACAGGUUAAUAUUCCUGUACUUGGUGUUACUGCGAAGGGGGACGGAGAAGGCUAUGUUGGCCGGGCGACGGUUGUCCCGGUUUAAGCGUGUAGGCUGGUUUUCCAGGCAAAUCCGGAAAAUCAAGGCUGAGGCGUGAUGACGAGGCACUACGGUGCUGAAGCAACAAAUGCCCUGCUUCCAGGAAAAGCCUCUAAGCAUCAGGUAACAUCAAAUCGUACCCCAAACCGACACAGGUGGUCAGGUAGAGAAUACCAAGGCGCUUGAGAGAACUCGGGUGAAGGAACUAGGCAAAAUGGUGCCGUAACUUCGGGAGAAGGCACGCUGAUAUGUAGGUGAAGUCCCUUGCGGAUGGAGCUGAAAUCAGUCGAAGAUACCAGCUGGCUGCAACUGUUUAUUAAAAACACAGCACUGUGCAAACACGAAAGUGGACGUAUACGGUGUGACGCCUGCCCGGUGCCGGAAGGUUAAUUGAUGGGGUUAGCGGUAACGCGAAGCUCUUGAUCGAAGCCCCGGUAAACGGCGGCCGUAACUAUAACGGUCCUAAGGUAGCGAAAUUCCUUGUCGGGUAAGUUCCGACCUGCACGAAUGGCGUAAUGAUGGCCAGGCUGUCUCCACCCGAGACUCAGUGAAAUUGAACUCGCUGUGAAGAUGCAGUGUACCCGCGGCAAGACGGAAAGACCCCGUGAACCUUUACUAUAGCUUGACACUGAACAUUGAGCCUUGAUGUGUAGGAUAGGUGGGAGGCUUUGAAGUGUGGACGCCAGUCUGCAUGGAGCCGACCUUGAAAUACCACCCUUUAAUGUUUGAUGUUCUAACGUUGGCCCCUGAUCGGGGUUGCGGACAGUGUCUGGUGGGUAGUUUGACUGGGGCGGUCUCCUCCUAAAGAGUAACGGAGGAGCACGAAGGUUGGCUAAUCCUGGUCGGACAUCAGGAGGUUAGUGCAAUGGCAUAAGCCAGCUUGACUGCGAGCGUGACGGCGCGAGCAGGUGCGAAAGCAGGUCAUAGUGAUCCGGUGGUUCUGAAUGGAAGGGCCAUCGCUCAACGGAUAAAAGGUACUCCGGGGAUAACAGGCUGAUACCGCCCAAGAGUUCAUAUCGACGGCGGUGUUUGGCACCUCGAUGUCGGCUCAUCACAUCCUGGGGCUGAAGUAGGUCCCAAGGGUAUGGCUGUUCGCCAUUUAAAGUGGUACGCGAGCUGGGUUUAGAACGUCGUGAGACAGUUCGGUCCCUAUCCGCCGUGGGCGCUGGAGAACUGAGGGGGCUGCUCCUAGUACGAGAGGACCGGAGUGGACGCAUCACUGGUGUUCGGGUUGUCAUGCCAAUGGCACUGCCCGGUAGCUAAAUGCGGAAGAGAUAAGUGCUGAAAGCAUCUAAGCACGAAACUUGCCCCGAGAUGAGUUCUCCCUGACUCCUUGAGAGUCCUGAAGGAACGUUGAAGACGACGACGUUGAUAGGCCGGGUGUGUAAGCGCAGCGAUGCGUUGAGCUAACCGGUACUAAUGAACCGUGAGGCUUAACCUU